UACAGAGGUCUCAAGCGUUGUUCGGAUUCAUUGGGCGUAAAGGGCGCGCAGGCGGCUCGGCAAGUCGGGUGUGAAAACUCGGGGCUCAACCCCGGGCGUGCAUCCGAUACUGCCGGGCUUGAGGCAGGUAGGGGAGAUCGGAAUUCCUGGUGUAGCGGUGAAAUGCGCAGAUAUCAGGAGGAACACCGGUGGCGAAGGCGGAUCUCUGGGCCUGUCCUGACGCUGAGGCGCGAAAGCUAGGGGAGCGAACAGG
rnacentral:rRNA from 1 species